CGACACUCUCUCCCGUCAUGCCGCCGCCUCUUGCGUUCCCCAUCCCCUCGCCGGCGCACCUUCCCCCUCACCGGCCUUGGCGCCUCUCUUCCGUGCCCCUUGGCACCAGGCACGGGUACAUCACCUUCUCCGCCGCCCUCUCCUCCACUAGCCUCCGCAUCGGCCGAGGCACGGCAGAAUGAUGGCUGCAGCCUUGACAAGCCAUGGUUUUCCCUUUAUCCGAUGCCGCAUUGACGAAUUGAAGAGGAGGAGACAGUACGGCGGCAAGAUGGUCCGACGAUUCGUGCGGCCCUCCUUCUUCUCGCACGCCCCUCUCCUGGCCUCUCCAGAGAAGAGGAGGAUAUCUCAGAGACAUGUUUGUGGAUAUGUCGGUUUGCACUCCGUUGAUUGUGGUGAUCGUCGGCUAUCGGCGCUGCAACCGUGUGUUCUCAGACGAGGCCCCCCUGCCUGCAUUGGUUGUCAAAAAGAGCAUCCAUGCUGCCAUGGUGGUCGCCACAAGCAGGCAUCAAGACAGGUUAUUGUGAGCUGUAGGAAUAACGGAAAGUCGGCAGCAUCAUGCUCGACCUGUGAUCCGCCUCGGAGCGCGACGCAUCCUCCCACUCGGCGCCCUAAGCUAGCUACUUCCUCCCCAAGCAGUGUCGACCUACAACAUCAUUUUGUGCAAGGUAACUCGGCCAUAUUCCAUAUGUGUGCAAGGCGAUUUUCAUGGUUUACUAGGAUGCAAAGCUAUUUCCCCUAUUGGCAGGGGCUCCCAACAAAUCUAUUGUAGUGUCAUAUGUGGGCGAAGUGCUUUUCAGGGUUUACUAGGAUGCAGAGCUAUUUCCCCUAUUGGCAGGUAUCUUUUCAUCCCAAUUUCUGUCAUGAAAAUCCCAAUGAUAUUAAAAAUGACCUAGGACAAGUAGCUUGCAAAUUGAAGAACUGUAUAAACAAUCAUAUUUAUUACAUAUUAAACUCCCAAAAUAAUAUAGGAGUAGUAGAUACCAUGGAGAGAUGAUCCUACUUACCAGAAAAUUACUUUGGACGGAGGGGAGGUGAAAUAGCACAUGUACCAUCCAGCUCCUAUAUUUAUAGGAGUAACUAAUGUUCUUAUGUGCCGAAUUUUGGGUCCAACCUAGAGCUAUAACAAUGCUAGGUUCUGGCUCAAUUAACCUUCAGCGGAAAUUACUGACUUAUUUGCUUUGAGUUGGCAUAGAGUUUGUUUAGGCAUUGUUUCUGAUUGGCCCCGUGCUGCAGACUGAGCUUUCUGCACUUUGUGUUGAACUAAAAUUCAGAGAGAGAUGAGACUACAAAUGUCAGCAAUGAAGGUUUGACUGACUUUGUUGUCUUUGUUGCGCUGAACUGAAUUAAGCGUCGGUCACCUCCAGCUGUGACCCGGCCGUUCUGGCUCCAGCGUGGUGCUACCGUAAUACAAUGUACUGAACAGUUUACUACUCUUUGUCAGUAUAAGUGCUCAACUCUUCAAAGUGUGUCCAAGUAGUACUAUUGAGCAAUUGCGUUUCCACGUGCUAAGUUAAACAUAAAUACAAGCUGACUAUUUGUCAUUA